rnacentral:tRNA from 1 species
GUGUGUCGCUCAGUGGCAGAGCACCCGCCUAACACGUGCGCAAGGCCCUGGGUUCCAUCCCCAGUACCACACA